AACCACCUACUGUACAUUAAGACACUACUAACUGUCCUCCCUAAACUAUUACAAUUUACAAAAUUCUAUUCUAACAUAAUAUUAUUGUCUUCUUUUGAAGAAUAAAGGACUUUACGAUAGAUAUCACAAUCUUCAUUACUGAACCAUCAUAGAGAGCAACUAUAUUUAUAUGGGUUUUGAUCACAUUUUUAUGUGUGCUGGGGACCGAACUGAGUUGAGCAGCCUACAAAAGAAAUGACUGCAAGUGAAGAAGAUCAAGUUUUUCUAAUGUGUAAUUAUACUAGCACUACAAAAGAUGCAUAUCUCUUCUAGUACAAACAGCUGCAAAACAGAUCACCAAUAAUUAUUUUGAGUGAAUAUACUUUUAGUAAAGGAACAACUGAGCCUGAAUUUAAAGAAGAGAUUAUCAACAACACUGGACUCCACAUUAAGAACAGUUCCACUGACAAUCCAGGAUCUGCAUGUGUCUGACUCUGAUGUGUUCUACUUUUAUAAAGUACAUGUAUACAUAAAGUAUAUAUAUAAUCACAAGUUUAUACCCACAUUGAAAACAGCUAAUAGCAGUUAUGUAUAAUCCCCUUCAGAUUUGGAUGAUUGUCCAACAUAAUGUUUAUUUAUGGCCAUUAGCAUGCUCGAUAAGAUUCCACAAGAAAAGAACUGUAUUGCUAUUGCUGUCAUAUAAUGAAAUUGCUUUCAUAUAGCUUGAUCAUUUAGAGCUGUUAUGAUUUCACUGUCAUAGAAUUGGGAGAGACGGGGGGACAUAGGUUCCAUUGACUAUGUACCUCGCGUGGACUUCUUUAUUUGUCAUACAAAUCACAAUAAUGGUGUCAACCAAAAACAACAUAUUAAGUAUAAGAUGAGCUCUAAAUAAUCACAAAAUGACAAAUAACUGCAAGUUACAACAAAUACAAUAACAGAAGUGUAAAUAAAAUUG